GUCGUUGUCCUGACAACGAGUCUCGAGAGCAUUUGUUUGAUUACUUGUAACAGUAAAUCAGCGUCUUUUCCGUAGUGUCUACUGCAGGAUGGAUAUAAAAGUAUAAAACACGUUUUGGUUUGACACCAUCGUUCAUAUGUGAACUAUCACAAUUAAAGCACAAAGACAUAACAACAUUACACCCCGAGACCAUUCACAAGUGCGACAAAAGAGAAGAAACGCUUUCCGGAAGAGAAGUUCAUCAGGCGAGUUGGAGACUAGUCGACUCAUCCAGUUUAGCGGAGAGCAUCAACCCCUAAUUGAUAUGAGGAAAGACAUACAGUGUACCCCUCUUUGCAACAGAGGAAGCAUUAGGAAAGAGGAGAAGAGAGAACGUGAGAAGGCACUCAACAGAUGUUGGUGAGACUUGAUUUCUGGAAAUGCUUUAAAGGUCACUCACAUUCUAGUUAGCCACAAAUGUAAACCUGAUUUUAGAUAGUGUUUAAAUGUGAUUAAUAACUCCAGCUACUUGUAGGCCUACAGUCCUGUAUAUUUCACACUAAAUUGUGAUGCAGCCUGAAUCAUAAUCACACCAUGUUCAUUUGUUGGCCAGAGGGGAACUGAUCCCUAAACUAAACAUACUUUCUCCCAAUGUUUUUUUUCUCCAUUCUGUCACCUGAUGGAGUUUGGGUUCCUUUACCGCUGUUGACUUUUGGCGUGCUUAUUUGGGGACUAAUAAUAUUCAGCAAUAUUAUUGAUCUGACUCCACUGACACUAUUGAUGAGGACUGAACUGAGCUAGAUGAUGACACCACUGCUAUCUAGAUGCACUUAAAUUAUUUUAUAUUUGAUGAUUUUUAUACAGUUAAUCGAAAUUAACUGAGUCAACACUGAUUUCAACUGAACAAUGACACGUUUUAUUGUUUAGAGCUGCUUCACAGCAGACGUGAAUUCUGUUUGCAUCAUUAUUUUUCUUUCGAUCACUGUAAAGCAGCUUUGAAACAAUCUGUAUUGUAUAAAGCGCUAUAUAAAUAAUGGUGACUUGACUUAAAUUGGUUCAAAUCUUCAAAAAAAAGUGCAUGAAACAGGCAACCUGAAUAAACACAAACUACAGUUUAUUAAUGAUAACUGUAUUUGCCUUUGUUUUAUGUUAAUUUUCUUAGGAAUAUCUGACAAUAUUUAGUGCUGGAUAUACACAAAAAUAGAAUAAAUCAGGAUUUUUUUUCACAGCACUGUACACCAGCAUUUAUGUGCGGUAGUGUGACAUUAAUGUGUGGAAAUGGACAUUUUAUCAGUGUGUGAUUACUAUAUUCAGGAAAAUGCGCUGGUAACAACUAAAAAAAGACGUCCAAAAAUAUAAUUCAACAGAGGAUGAUGGCUGUGGUGAAACAAGCACUCAAAUAAUGAAACUAAGACCUGUGGGAGUGCUGGACAAAUCAAGUGUAUAAGUCCUCUGUCGUCGUCAGCCAUGUAAGAGAUCUUCAGACAUGAAGAGAUUGAGGAGUUAAAUGAAAUCAUAGAGCUAAAAGAAGAUUUACAAUAUUAGUGCCAUUUCAGUAUGAAAACAGAGAGAGAGCUGAGGCAGUGGAAAGAAAUGCAUGUUAUUGUGCAAGGGGUAGUUGCAUGGACUAUCAGUGGAGGAACAGAAAGCUCUGAGAUUUCAUUAUAAAAAGAUCUUCAGUUGUGUUCUGAAGAUGAACGAAAGACUUGCGGGUUUGGAACGUCAUGAGGACUACAUCCAAAAUAGUGUUUCCACAUCUGAGAUGAAGGCAGUCAUAAGAACCAAGCGGAACGAUGAGGAUAAGCUCUUCAAAAAAUGAAACCUGUCUGAAUAAUGAGGGAAGAAAUGUGUGUGAUUGUGUGAUUUGUAAAUAAACACUAAGUACAUUUAGUGUAACUCUCAGCCUAUUAUUUUAAGUUUAAAGAAAAGUAAAAUCAUUUAUUGUUGCAUUGCUGUUUGAGACAUUCACUGUUUUUUUGUACCUUAAUUUAUUAUAUUGCAGUUGUGUAAA